AUGGAAGAAGAUGAAGAUUACGACCUUCUCGGAGUCGACCGCUCUGAAACAAAGCGAGAGAAGGGUUCCGAGGAAAGGCUCGAGAAGAAGGAGGACAGGAGGACAGGGCUGAGGUGUUGUCAGCGUGACACUGAAACCUUUGGUGUCCACCCCGGGGACCUGGGUGUGCCCAUUCCUGUGGCAUCAGACCUGCUUUCAGCUCCGCUCCCUGUCCACCCUUUUCCUCAUCACGCAGAAGACAGUGUUGUUCUAGAUGUGGAGCUCACGGCGGAGGUUCGAGUGGAGGAUGGGUCGAUGCUGGCUCUGUUCCCCUCUGUCAUUCCUGGUCUUCUUCGAACAGGGAAGCCAGGUAGCAUACCUGUAGCACGCUAACUUAUCCCACUGUCUUGGGUUAGUGUGUGUUCUGACUCACAGCUGAGGUGACUUGAACCGCAGUUCAACUUGAUUCUUGUUUGUUUCCAGGCUUCU
rnacentral:lncRNA from 1 species